UCCGACAACCUAUGAAACCCAUUUUGUGAGUUGUUCAGGAGAAAAGGGUGGAGUUGGUGCGUACAAAACCCAUUUUUAAUUUCUACAAGCCCUGCCAACGAGGCAAACGUGGUUGGUCCAUUAGAGAAAAGGGUGUGGUUCUUGAGUCCAACAGGAAGGCUAAAAGAUAACCUUAGGUUUGGGCAUGGCUUGUUCAAGCCCAGCCGGAUCUCUUCCUGUAUCCAAACGCUGGGUUUCUAGAUUCUUCUAAGACCCCCAGAAUUCCUCUAGAUGGUUGGCGUAGAUCAGUCAUCAUAGUAAUCACUUGCGAUUGUGCUUAUUUUGCAUUUGGUUUUAUUUACAAGUCUUCUGUUCAAGUAAUGACAAAUUAUCCUGAUAAAUGUAAUUCGCUUAACAUUCAUGUUGUAAAGUUCACAUUGCUUUCUCAAUUGCUGGAAUAUUACUAGAUCAGGCAUGAUAAUGUUUGUGAUUAACCAUCCAAUCUGAUGAAAAAUAGAGUUUUUGUCAUGGGCUCAAUUAAAAAAGAGCUAGAUUGUGUGCAAAUACGAUCGGAAACAAGCCCUGCUAUCGAUCCCACCUGUGUUUAACAAGUAUGCAGUUUAUACUUCUAUUUAUCUAUUUGGAUUCAGUAGCCACUGGUCGUGAUUGAAUUGGUGGGGAGGAUCUUUCUUCGUUCACUUUGCUUAUUUUUGGAGGAACUGGAUCGUGUGCAAAUAGAUAAAUAGAAGUCCUGCUAUCAAUCCCACCUGUGUUUAACAGAUUAAAUGUACAAACAGCUUUGAGGCUAUCUUCUUCAUUUCAUUUUCCAUUCAUCUCCCUUGUAUCAACCGUGGAUGUGUACUUGUUCUGGAAUUCAGGCAUUUAAAGCAGCAUUCCUGUGGAGAAAGCAUAGAUGACAUGCAUUUGGGUCUGUGGUGAAUUAUUCUGAGUAAAUCUUCCUGGAAUACAUCAUUUAGUUGUUUCUUGCUGAGUUUGUGGCCCAUAUUGCUGGGAAAUGCUUUGCUACCUGAUAUUUACCCUUGCCUAGGUUUUGCUACCUGGCUAAAGCAGCGUGCACUUUUGCAGCUUCACUACAGAGUUGGUAAGGUUCUGGUAAUUUACGACUCUUUAUGGAAGGUCGAGGCAAGAUUUCUCAGUGUUUCUUGGACCAUUCUAGAUGGCAUUUCUUGUGUGACACUGAGGUGCUACUAUAGAUACAGAAUGUUGCAGAGAACGAUUUUUUUGCUGUCCAACAAGAAUAUCCUAGUUGUGCUCUGUCCUAUAAAGUUUUCUUUGACUUGGUGUUGUGUUCUGCGCCUUGUUUUGGUCAAAGGGACUCGUGUUUUGUUGACAGGUUGCUGGGUGUAAAUCCUAGCCUUGAUGGUAAGUUGAAAUGUGCUUUGUCGGGCACAUAUGGUCUUGAUGCU